rnacentral:rRNA from 1 species
CCUACGGGUGGCAGCAGUGGGGAAUAUUGCGCAAUGGGCGAAAGCCUGACGCAGCGACGCCGCGUGAGGGAUGAAGGUCCUCGGAUCGUUAACCUCUGUCAGCAGGGAAGAACGGUCACUGUGCUAAUCAGCAGUGAAUUGACGGUACCUGCAAAGGAAGCACCGGCUAACUCCGUGCCAGCAGCCGCGGGAAUACGGAGGGUGCGAGCGUUAAUCGGAAUUACUGGGCGUAAAGCGCUCGUAGGCGGUAUGUCAAGUCAAGGGUGAAAUCCCCGCGCUCAACGUGGGAACUGCCUUUGAAACUGGCAAACUGGAGUGUGUGAGAGGAUAGUGGAAUUCCAGGUGUAGGAGUGAAAUCCGUAGAUAUCUGGAGGAACAUCAGUGGCGAAGGCGACUAUCUGGCACAUAACUGACGCUGAGGAGCGAAAGCGUGGGUAGCAAACAGGAUUAGAUACCCUUGUAGUU